GGUCAAGUGAAGAAGCGCAUACGGUGGAUGCCUUGGCAGUCAGAGGCGAUGAAAGACGUGGUAGCCUGCGAAAAGCUUCGGGGAGUCGGCAAACAGACUUUGAUCCGGAGAUGUCUGAAUGGGGGAACCCAGCCAUCAUAAGAUGGUUAUCUUGUACUGAAUACAUAGGUGCAAGAAGCGAACCAGGGGAACUGAAACAUCUAAGUACCCUGAGGAAAAGAAAUCAACCGAGAUUCCCUUAGUAGUGGCGAGCGAACGGGGACUAGCCCUUAAGUGGCUUUGAGAUUAGCGGAACGCUCUGGAAAGUGCGGCCAUAGUGGGUGAUAGCCCUGUACGCGAAAAUCUCUUAGUCAUGAAAUCGAGUAGGACGGAGCACGAGAAACUUUGUCUGAAUAUGGGGGGACCAUCCUCCAAGGCUAAAUACUACUGACUGACCGAUAGUGAACUAGUACCGUGAGGGAAAGGCGAAAAGAACCCCGGAGAGGGGAGUGAAAUAGAUCCUGAAACCGUAUGCGUACAAGCAGUGGGAGCCCACUUUGUUGGGUGACUGCGUACCUUUUGUAUAAUGGGUCAGCGACUUAUUUUCAGUGGCGAGCUUAACCGAAUAGGGGAGGCGUAGCGAAAGCGAGUCUUAAUAGGGCGUCUAGUCGCUGGGAAUAGACCCGAAACCGGGCGAUCUAUCCAUGGGCAGGUUGAAGGUUGGGUAACACUAACUGGAGGACCGAACCGACUACCGUUGAAAAGUUAGCGGAUGACCUGUGGAUCGGAGUGAAAGGCUAAUCAAGCUCGGAGAUAGCUGGUUCUCCUCGAAAGCUAUUUAGGUAGCGCCUCAUGUAUCACUGUAGGGGGUAGAGCACUGUUUCGGCUAGGGGGUCAUCCCGACUUACCAAACCGAUGCAAACUCCGAAUACCUACAAGUGCCGAGCAUGGGAGACACACGGCGGGUGCUAACGUCCGUCGUGAAAAGGGAAACAACCCAGACCGUCAGCUAAGGUCCCAAAGUUAUGGUUAAGUGGGAAACGAUGUGGGAAGGCUUAGACAGCUAGGAGGUUGGCUUAGAAGCAGCCACCCUUUAAAGAAAGCGUAAUAGCUCACUAGUCGAGUCGGCCUGCGCGGAAGAUGUAACGGGGCUCAAACCAUACACCGAAGCUACGGGUAUCACGUAAGUGAUGCGGUAGAGGAGCGUUCUGUAAGCCUGUGAAGGUGAGUUGAGAAGCUUGCUGGAGGUAUCAGAAGUGCGAAUGCUGACAUGAGUAACGAUAAUGGGUGUGAAAAACACCCACGCCGAAAGACCAAGGUUUCCUGCGCAACGUUAAUCGACGCAGGGUUAGUCGGUCCCUAAGGCGAGGCUGAAAAGCGUAGUCGAUGGAAAACAGGUUAAUAUUCCUGUACUUCUGGUUAUUGCGAUGGAGGGACGGAGAAGGCUAGGCCAGCUUGGCGUUGGUUGUCCAAGUUUAAGGUGGUAGGCUGAAAUCUUAGGUAAAUCCGGGAUUUCAAGGCCGAGAGCUGAUGACGAGUUA
rnacentral:rRNA from 1 species